rnacentral:lncRNA from 1 species
CAGCACUCGGUGCUCAUAGAAAGCGCAGGCUAAAGGGAUAAACCAUGCUGACCAAUGGCAGUGACGAUGACCUCUGAUGUGUGGGAUCCUGGGCUGAGCCAAAGUCCUGUGAGAGAAAGUUCUGGAAGGCUUGGUGCAAGGUGGCCUUGCACUGGGCUCUGAAGGACCCACUGGGCUGAGGAUGAGUCCCCAGGUGAUUUCCCACCUCUGCUGUGCUGAGGUGACAGUGACAGAGAGUCAGGCAGGACACAAGGCAUUCCUCAGAAAGGGGGCUCCACGUAGGCCAUGGUGGGCAAAAGUCCAGAGGAGGGCAGGGCUGGGGAUGGUGCGGGGCCACUAGUGCCCUAGUCAAGGCCACUCCAAGCAGCCUGCACUGUGGUGACUGGUCUGUCACCUCUGCCCAGAGACCGCAUGGCCCACAGUGCCUGUCUGGCCCUUUCUAGAUUGUUUGGGCCCCUUGUGCUGCAGUAGUAGGAAUGCUAAUCAGGUGCGUGGCCUCCUCCUUCCUUCCUUCCUUCCUUCUCUCCUUCUUUGCUUUCUUUUAUGGUGCUGGGGAUUGUCACACUGAGCUACUGUCACACUGAGCUACAUCCCUAGCCCUUUCUAAUUUAUUUUUUAAUUUUUGAGACAGUGUCUCAGUAAAUUGCCCAGGCUGGGCUUGAAUUUGUGACCCUCCUUGCCUCAGCCUCCCAGAGUGCUGGGAUUACAGGCGUGCGCCACCACCGCUGGCUCAGGAUGCUAUUUCUGAGUGCUCCCCAUAUAUCAGCAGCGAUCCUUAGGACUUAACCUGAGUUCUUCCACCUACUUCCCAAAUCCAGCAGUGAGGGAGACGCCAUGAUGGUCCCAUUUGUGAACUGAUGCUCAUCGUUGUUGAGGAACUUGCAUAGGUCACCAGCCAGGACGCCGAGAGCCCAGCCUUGAGGCCGACUCACUGGACUCUAAUCCCUGCUGUCUCAUCCCUGCCACGAGCAUGUGCCUGACAAGCAAGAGGCACAACCUUUCCUAAUGGGUACCCUGAGGUCAGGAGAGAGGAGAACAGUUCCACUCCCCACCUUGCUCCUCUCUUGCCAGCAUUUCUUCCUUGCCGCAUUUUCUCUUCUUUCCUAGGCUUGGAAAAUUGAUAGAAUAAUCACAGUCAUUCCAGCAUGGUUCCACAGCAUGCUCUGUAAUUAGUGUGUGAUUCGGGCCUUGUGUGAACACAGACAGGCGCCCUGGAAGAAGCCAAGCACAGGAGGACCAGCUUUCUCCAGAGAUGCGGAGCCCUCCUCCCUGCCUUGCUGAACUUUAGGCUUUGCUACAAGCCCAAAAGGGCUGAAAUCCCACUGACCAGUCUCAGGCACCUCCCUGGCUUUAAUCCCUCCUGUAGAAAAGCAGUGUCACCCAUCCAUCCACCCACCCCCCAUCCUCCAUCCAUCUGUACCACAAAUACCCUGUUCUCCUGGGGACACAGCCCGAGCUGCAGUGCAGCCCCAUCCACUGCCACACCUGCCAGUACUCAACCCUCUGCAGACAUCCCCAACAUCCACUUCCCUUGGGAAUGCGAGGCAGAGAGAGCCCCAGCCAGCCAGGGAGCCUCUAUCUGGGUUGAGGGCAUGGGCUGGCUUAACCCUGGUGGGGGGCCUGCAGUUGUGGGGCCAGGUAUUGCCUUCUCUGGGCCAGAAGGGGUUAACAGAGGCACCGGCAGUGCCUCAGUUCUAGCCAAAGACACUCAGCCAAAAGUGGCUUGUGCGUCAGCAGGGCCCACAGCGCGACUCACUCUGAGGACAGCCUGGAGUGAUUCAUUGAGAGCCAGAGAGAAAGAGGGGGUGAGAAAGGAGGUACUUGAAGAGCCAGGAUGCCAAGGGGGCAGAUGCCAACACGCUGUGCUAAGGUGCAGAGGGCAGGGUGGUCCAGAGCCCCACAGGGCCGGCAGGCGGGGGGCCCCUCCCUGGGCUGGGGAACAGAAGGCUGCAGCCGUCGCCCCAUGGCUACAGCCUGAGCCAACCAUGAACCCCUGCCACACAACCUUGAGUCAGAAGGCAGUGCCUAUCCCAGCUCUGCUGCCACCCUGCGGGGUGCCUGGCACCUGUCCCCAGCCUCAGUUUCUUCUCUGUGGAGUGAGGGGCUGGGCGUGUCCACCUGGGAAGCCAGAGGCCAUGGAUUUCACACUCAGGCUUCCCCUUUUAGACCAGACCUCCCUUCCCGUUCCAGUGCAGGUGCAGGUGCUUGUGCCUAGGAGGGGCACAAAGUCAGCACCUUCUGAGAGUCAUUGUCAGGGGUAAAAUGGGAUGUCUCACCUUCAAAACAGGUUUUUGGACAUUUAUUUGGUGCCCACUGUGCUCCAGGAGCUGGGAUGCAUAAGGAGCUGACAGCCCCUGGGGAGAGAUUAUGUAAUUGAGUGCAUAGUAAAUGUUUAAUAAGCAACAGUUGCUAUCAUUUAUGUUGUCCUCAAGGUUCCUUGAGGCCCCUAGACCAGUUUUUCAUACAGGAGUCACUUGUGGCUGAUUGAAUCAGUGGCAUCGAGUUGGAGACAUUUUUCCUGCAUGGCAAGUGUGACCCAAGGAGGAGGUAUAGUGAGCCUGGCAGAGGGCUGGCCAUUGCUUCAUCCAGCUUCGUUCCCAAGCCCAGAUUGGCUCCUACGGACCCAGAAACAGUGCUCAAGAAGUGGUGAUGACCCUUCCCAGAGAACUAAUGGUGAUAAUCCCAGCCAAAGGGGCCACAGUGCCCAGGAUGUGCUGGGCACUGGUCUAAGCCUUUGCCUCUGAACUCAGUUUAAUUUUUACAACAGUCCCUUAAGGGAGAGAUAAUACUAUUCGCAUUUCACAGAUAGGGAAGUCAAGGCUCAGAAAAGCUUAAGUAACUUCCCCAAGCUCACACAGCUAGUAAGUGGUAGGACUGGAACUCAGACCCAGAUAGGCCGGCUCUAGAGUCUGUGCCCUAAGCAUUAUGGAGUGCUUGCUCUGGGUUAUUAAUAAUUGCUGUAGUUUUGACAGCUGUCAUUUGAAUUAUAAUUGAUGGCCUUUCAUGGGGUCUUGCUAAAUGCAUUUUCUCAUCUGAUCGCUGCCAUUUUUAUUUCCUCGUAGCACUGAAUGCAGCUUGAUGUUACUCACGUAAUCAUUUCCUGUCUGUCACCCCCACCCCGUGUGACUGAAAACUCUCGGGAGAUUGUGCUUUGCUCAGCGCCUUAACUGCAGCAUCUGAAACAUAGCGGGUGCUGUUUGCAUGUCUGCUGCAUGGUGGAUGAGUCUCUCUUUUUUUCUGCUAAAGGAACCAACGUUUAGAGCAGUUAACUGGCUUGCUCGGUGUCGCACAGGAGGUAAGUCGUACAGCAGGGUCUGCAGUACUGCUGUGCAUUCACUUCCAGCCAGGCCCUGUGCUGGGAAAGCCAAAAGGGGGACAGAGUGAAAGUCGUGGCAUGGACUGGGACCGGCGUCCAUGGCCCUUCUCCGCCUUCCCAGUUUCCUCGUGCAGCAGCUAAGGGGGUGCCGUCUUUCUCCUGGAGGCUGCGAGGGAAGGACAUCUGCCUUCUGCUGAGAAUCCCCUGGUCCCUGGCCACUCGAUCCCGCUCCUCCCUGCCAGGUCUCCCUCGAGCUCUGAUGGCCACCGAACCCACACUCCCUGGGAGGUUACCGGUCAUGUUUUUGUGUGCUUGUGCCUUUGUCUUUCGGUUCCUUGACAGAUUUAUAGGCCUGUCAGUGGAGACGCUCUGUGAAGUACACAGGGGACAGAUGUGUCUUGGUGCUUCCUGGAGACCUUUAUCUCCGGGGCGCUUUCUGCUAUCCUGCGCUCAUAGUGUUUCAUUGACUUUGGCCAAGCAAGCCCCUGCUCAGCAUUAUUGACCAAGCAAGCCCCUGCUCAGCAUUAUUGACCAAGCAAGCCCCUGCUCAGCAUUAUUCUAACAUUUUGUUGACUGAUGGCCCAGGGUAAAUUGGCUUUUCAAACAAAGAAAUGAAUUACAACUCUUCACUGCUCUGAGAACCUGAUUGGUCAGCACAUUGAUUCUCAAACUUUAUUCUCUGAAUCCCUAGAGUUCUGCAGAGGAACCCCAGGAAGCUAGGGAUGAGGCAGGAGCAAAGGGAGCCGUCUUCGGGGACUGGAGAGGUCCUCCUGUCCAUUAGCUACCUCCCGGCUGCCAACCGCCUCCUGGUGGUGCUGAUCAAAGCCAAGAACCUCCACUCCAACCAGUCCAAGGUGCUCCUGGGCAAGGAUGUCUCAGUCAAGGUGACCUUGAAGCACCAGGCUCAGAAGCUGAAGAAGAAGCAGACGAAACGGGCCAAGCACAAGAUCAACCCUGUGUGGAACGAGAUGAUCAUGUUCGAGCUGCCUGACGACCUGCUGCGGGCCUCCAGUGUCGGAGCUGGAGGUGCUGAGCCAGGAUGAGGCUGGGCAGAGCUGCACCCUCGGUCACUGCAGCCUGGGCCUGCACACUUCCGGCUCAGAGCGCAGCCACUGGGAGGAGAUGCUCAAAAACCUGCGCCGGCAGAUUGCCAUGUGGCACCAGCUGUGCCAGUAGCCGGGCCCUUGCGGGGACACGGGCCCCUCCUCCAGCCCCAGCUGUCCCGUGCAACCUCCUCUGUCCCCACCCUCAUUCUGAGACAGACUGGGACCCGCGCUUCCUCUCUGGCCACACUCCUGUUUCGAAAGGGCAAGUGUGGAAAUGGGACAUCGGGUCGCACAAGGAGAGCACCUUGCUCCUCUGUGCUAUGGGAAGAGCUGUCUACCAGACAAUCCUGUGCAGGACUUGCAAGUGUGGGAAGCCAGAUGCAGGGGGAGCUUAAUUCAGGGAAUUGUGGAUGCAAAGAGGUUCCUAAAAAUAAGUAUUGCAACAAGAAUGAAGGAGAAAUGAUCCUGGAUCAACUCAAAGAGUUAGAAGUGGUCUGGGUGGGAUGAAACCAACCCCCGCCAAGCAGCUGUAGGACGUUAGUGUGUAGAGACUCACCCGCCAGCUCCUGGGCCGCCAGUGAGUUCCAGGUCAGAGAUUCGGGCCAAGCCUCUUCCUCAGUCCUUCUAAGCACUGAGAGAUUCCAAGGCAGAGGUGGGAGGACGUGGAGGGGUUCUGUCUACAACAUUCUACGUGGGCUUUCAACCUCUGUCUGCUAUGGGGCCCCAACACCUGGAGGCAGCGACCCCAACCCUGGGCACCUCAACCCUGUGUGUGAACUCAAAGCCUCCAUUUUUGAUUUAACUCUUAAUGUUGAAAUGUGUGCUUUUUCCAGGUCCUGCUCUUGGGCUGCAUUUUGUGAUUUUUAUUGAAGGACUGUAUUGUUUUAUCUUGAAAUUGGCUUAUAUUGUGUGUGAGGAGACCUUCUUCCACAAAGUAUAGGUGGGAUCCUCACUCUGUUGGUUAUUGGGCUGGAUUCUGAGCAUUAGUUGUCACAUCUACCAGCAUUACCAAAGUGACCCUGUGCAACAGAUCCAUUCCUUCUCUGCAUUCCAGCUGCUUCCGGAGGAAGUUAAUUAUGAACUUGGUCUACUCCAUUUGGCUGCAGGAACAUGGAGAGGAAAGACAACUUUAUAAAGGAGUGAGGUCUUUUGCAGACAUGCCUCCCUCCCUGGGUUUGGGGGUCCUUAAAACUUUAACCAGUAAAUAGCUAGCAGCUAGAUUUUUACUUUCUACCUGUUAUUCCCAAAUCAUUGUCCCCACUGUGAUUAAAUCUACAUGAAGGUGGUCAUACUACUCAUCAGGAACUGGAUUGCUGGGUUCUGCUGCUCUCACUGCCCUUCACAAGCUUAAUGUGGCCAUCUGUCAAGUAGGGCUAACAUCCUGGGAUCUUAUCUGUGUGCAUGAUAUGGUAGGUGAGAAAGUGUUCAAAAAGUUGAAGGUAUUCCUCAGCUAAGAACAAACUCCGAGACCACUAGCAGGUCACCUUUAAGCUAGGUUACUGUCUUUCACGUCAAGCUGGGAGCUGAGAAUGCCUAGAAAGUGUCAGACCUGCUCAAAUAUUUCCAGAACCAUGGAUUCUGCAUUUGAACUUCUUUCUAUUAAUAGUCAAACUCUGGGCCCUCCGAUGUCAGCCCCAUUCUCUGAUGGAAGGGAGGAUUCCUGGAUGAGCUGUCUAAGCAUCAUUCUUCUUAAAUUCAGUUGUUCUCGGCCUCUCCUUGAGCAGAGCCUUCAUACUCUUUUGUCAUUAUUUGCUCUUUCUAUACAGAAAUGGGAAAGCACUAGAAAUAACUUCUACCCACUCUGUGGAAACAGAAAAAAAUAUAUAAUCCCUCUUUAAUGGGCAGGUCUUUCAGAUAAUUGGAAACCUUGAUCUUUCAGGUUGACCCACCCUUGUUCCAAGUGUUUUUUCAAAGGUGCAGUAUUGUCUUUGGUUUCCAAAAAUGUGUUUCUGAGUUCACCCUCUCUGCCCUGGUCUCUUCUUUUUGGUUGGCAUGGCAAAAAGAGAACAAAAUAUUCCCCAGGUCACCUGAAAGCUGGCCAGCAUCUUCUUUAACAUGCGCUAUCUAGAAACAUGAGUUCCACUUCCCUAUAAAUCAAAGCACUGCUUAUAGUCCCACCAAAGAACAUUUGAAGAGUGCUGGACAGGGCCCCCUGGCCCAGAGCAUCAAUGCCACCCAAAGUCAACCCAUUCAUUUCUUUGGAUCUCAAAGGUUUAGUUUUCCAGAAUGAAAGCUAAAGGCUGCUCCUGAUAGGGGUCACAUUAUACCAUAGGACAUUUUAGGUGCCAUUGUCACCCCACUUGGCAGAGAGGCACAGAAAUGGCAUAGGCUCUGCAGGGGCCUCAUUUGGAUGUUCACUGGUGGAUUCCAAAUGCCUAGGAUAAAGCUGUCUUAUGGGGCUCCAACAGGGCUUGCUGGAUGAAUGAAUGAAUGAUGGGAGAGGUGUCACCAGAAAAGGACACAGCACAUGGCAGAACAAGGAGAGCCCUGGCUGAGUUGACAAUGGUAAAGAUGUCAGUUGACUCAACAGUUAGCCUGGAAAUUCAUGACAUUGAGUAUUAGCAUUCACUCAACAACAGUCAAAGGUCUCCAUGUAAAUGGAUUUAACAAAAAAGAGAAUAUAAUUGCCAUACUUUCCCACCCAAACUCCAUUCUGGUGAAUUUUAAAUUACCCAAAGAUGUCAGACUGCCAAAUCAAAAAAUUUUGGUAAUCUUUGCCUCGGUUUACCUUGUACCAGACACACUUGCAAUUUACCUUUUAAUUAGAGUGAUGAAGUCUGUGUGAACAUAUUUGAUAAUUUUUGAAAGGGUUACCUUGUUCUAUGUAGGGAAGCAUUUUCUAAGAAAGGUGUGAAGCAGAGGUAAAAACAAAGAGUCUGUUUCAGGCUGGGCUGUCACCCAAGAGGGGACCUGUUUCUUUCUUAGAGACAGCCACGGGCUUGGAGGAUUAAGGAUCCACCUUCAUUUGUUGGUGACUUCACUUCUUGAGCCAUCAGUCUGUACUUGUUGAGUCCUGUUCCUCAAGACUUUGCAUGUGUCUGUCCCUUCCAAUUUCAGAUGUGACUCUUGGUCUGGGUUGUGUGACAAACCACCCUAAUUGAAGCUAGGCAGAGGGAGUGGGGGGAACAGGAGUGCUGUUCUUUGGGACCACUUGGAAAGGAGUCCUGGAUGGAAGGUGGAUGCAGCCUAAGCCAAAUGGACAAGGUGAGGACAGGGAAAAGAGACCUAGUCCUUGUGAUUUGUUGCUGCCUUUGCUGUUUCCUGUUGUCAAUUGCUCUGUGUGUGUGUUAGUGUGUGUGUGUGUUUGUGUGUGUUUUGCUAUCAUGAACUGAAGCACAAAUAGAGGCAUGAGACAUUGUAGUCAUGUAUUCCGUGUCACACUCUGGAGCAAAACUAGUGCAGUGGUAAAUAAAUAACUUCCAACAGGGUCAGUAGCUUGGUGUUUCUCUGUUUUGUUCUGUUUUUUCCUUUCACUUAAUAUUUUGGACAUCUAAAAUGCAGGAAAAGUAAAAACAAAAACAAAAACAAAACACUUUGCAGUCAGCAUUCACAAACCACUGUCAAUAUAAUGAACCUUGACAGCUGCAGCUCAGUCUGCUCUGUGCCCUCUACUCCAGACCUGCCUCUGGGUUUUUAUCCUAAGCAGUACAUAUACACUCUGAGGAAUAGAGCUACUAUCUUUGUGUGUGUGUUAAGUUUUAUUUAAAUUAUGUCACACUAUUUUUGCUCAAAAGUAAAAUUUUGAACUUCAACUGUGCAGACAUAUCAGUUCUAGUUCUAG